UAGGCGCACGGGUGAGUAACACGUGAAUAAUCUACCUCCGAGUGGGGAAUAACUGAGAGAAAUCUUAGCUAAUACCGCAUAACACUUACGAGUCAAAGCAGCAAUGCGCUUGGAGAGGAGUUCGCGGCCGAUUAGUUAGUUGGCGGGGUAAUGGCCCACCAAGACGAUGAUCGGUAUCCGGCCUGAGAGGGCGCACGGACACACUGGAACUGAAACACGGUCCAG
rnacentral:rRNA from 1 species